UUUAAGACAGACAGCUAGAUACCAUAAACAUACAAUGUAUACACAGGCCAGAGUCGGAGCUUGAUUUGCUAUAUGAUAUAAAAACUAAACUGACGAAAAAAGGUCAUUUAUUCAAAAUCAUAAAAUGCAAAAAAUACAUUUUGCAAAUAAAACAUUUGACAUAAAAGUUCAUAUUUAAUAUGAAAUAAUAAUACAUAAUUAAUACGAAAUUACAUCAACUAAUAUCAUAUCAAUUGAAUAAAUGACAAAGAAUAGCAAAUGUGGGGAGAAAAAUCUGCCACAAAUCCGAUCUUAAGCUGAAAGAGUGCAUCCCAAAGCCACUCUAAGGCUGAAAGAGUGGAUCCCCCACCCGAGGACUCUGGCGACGUGAAUACAAUUUAUAUAUAACUUGAAAAAUUUACGAGCAUGACAUUCACAUACAUGUACACCAAAAAAUAACACUUUAUUUUUGUAAAACGUUUCCACAUUGAGCAGAAAUAUUAAAAGUUCAUAUGAUCAUAUACCGAGAUAUUACUUUUAAAUUAUCUCUUACUGAUAAAAUUGAUUAAAGGUGUAAAUCUUAUUCCGGUCAGGACCACAGCAAUAAAAUUACAAUAUAAUCGUCGUUAAGUAUAUGUUUCAGAAUUCAUAAAUCGUCUUACAUCUAGACAUUUAAGAAUAGUAUCCGCUAAAUAUUUUAGUACGGACAAUUAGUUCAUUAAUUAACCGAAACUUUAUCUUUAAUCUUAAA